CAGAAACUAUUGUAGGAAUUUAUUAAUGAAUUCUCAAGUAUGCCCAACGAUGUGACCAAAUUACUUCGUGAUAUCCAAGUAGACUUAGAAUAUCUACAGAGAAAGAAAAAAAUGCAAGAAAGGGAAAAAAGGGAAAGAAGAAAGAGAAAGAAAGAAAGAAAGAAAGAAAGAAAGAAAGAAAGAAAGAAAGAAAGAAGAAAGAAAGAAAGAAAGAAAGAAAGAAGAAAGAAAGAAAAAAAAAGAAAAAGAAAGAAAGAAGAAAGAAAGAAAGAAAGAAAGAAAGAAGAAAGAAAGAAAAAGGAAGAAAGAAAGAAAGAAAGAAAAAGAAAGAAAGAAAGAAGAAAAAGAAAGACACUCUAAUCAACCCUCUGCUCAUUAAAGGUCUGAAGUUCCUGCCAAGUCUCCUUCAUGUACUACAUUCUUUAAUGCCAAAUGCUUAAGUGGUUGGUUUUCCCCACUGUUCUCUACUGCAUCCUGAUACCCUCAGCUGAGUAAUAUUCCAAGUAAGUGUGCAAUUA
rnacentral:lncRNA from 1 species